UUCAAGAAAUCUGUUGUUGAUUUCAGAAUUUCACCCAAGAGCUUUCAAAACUGAUGUGGCUUUAUGGCCGUAGCUUCUCUCACAAACAAAUGAGAUACUAUUAGAUCAUUUUGAAAGGAAGAUUUUAUGGAAAAUAUUUGGUGCAUAGUGUAUACAUAUAUCAGAACACAUGAAUGGUGCAUAAGAUCCAAUAAUGAGUUAUAUUAAUUGUACAGAGACCCAACCCUGACAUGGGAAAUCAGACUAUGAUGACUGCAGUGGCUGAGAUACAUUGAAAGAAUGGAAGUGAUUUGAACACCAAAGAAAGUCUUCCUUGCGUCCUAAAGGGGAGAAGGCCCACUAAAAGACCAAGAAGAGAAUGGAUACAUGGUGUAGUGUCAGACCUACAGAAAUUAAAGCUGGAUGAUAGGAGCAUGAAGGCAUACAACAGACAGGAAUGGAUGAGGGGUCAGCCAAGCGUGGAGGCAGCUGAGGGUCUCUAGGGUCUAUAAUGCUAAACUUCUACUACUGCUACUCCUCCUCUGUGGCUAUGAGUAGCAGUUCUUUUAUUACUUAAAAAGCAAAUAUCUUUAAAAAUUGGGAAAAAAGAAGAGACAGUCUUGUAUUAAUUCCUAAUGGAACUCUAUUAACUUCAGUAGAGUUCCAUCGCAGAUGAAUUUGGACCUGUUUAUAUUUAUUUAUUUAUUGGAUAUUGUUUUUGACUCUUUUAACCCAUAAAGUUAUGCUGUAUUAAUCCAGCUAGAACUCUCAUUCAUAGAUGGAAGCAGAAUUUCCCCAAAUUAAACAUUUAUUUUUGCAACCUUACAAAAGAAGCAGAUAUCCAAAUUCUCCACUGUUAUACUAGUGUAAAUCUGGAUUGUCCUUUGGAUGAUCCAUUUGGAAUCACUGAAAUUACUCUGGAUUUAUACUGGUGCAAUCAAGGGCACAAUUAAUCAUACAGAUUUUUCUCAGAAACAGCUAUUUGGCCAAACUCCUGUUAUAUGAAACCAUAAUAUAGUCGUACUUUAUUUAGACAUAUUCACAAAAUUAGUACAGUAGAUUCUACUGUUCUUUUAUGAGUUAUUUAUGUUAAAACUUCUAAGUAUCUGUAGUCUAAGUAACUCUCACUAUUCAUUAAUUGGUGCAUACAGUAAAAUACUUUCAUUAAUUUCUGCAUGGUUUUACACCGUGUAUUAAGCAUAGAUUCAAAUGUACCCCAGUAAGUGGUCUUCUGGAUGUUUGUUUGUUUUUGUUUGCUUUUGCAAUAAUGACUUUUAUUGCACAUUCCUUGUUAUUAAUUAAUUUUGGUUGUACAAGGAAUGUAUGUUUUGGCCCCGUCUCUUUGGUAAAUACUGUUCUAGCAAGAUAUAGUUAAUCUAUCUGUUGUUGUGAUAGCAUGUCUAAACUGCAAAUCCAGAGUGGAACUCCCUGUCUCUCUGAAUUACUCUGCUUUGCUUUGGUCACUGUCACUGAAUGGCUGAUGAAAUAUAAUUUGAAAAUGUUCCUUAGUGCCUGCUGCAAUAGGGCCCCACCCCAAUCCUUUCCUUAUUUCAAACAUUUCUCAAGCCAUUUUCCAACAAAAUCACACUCCAGUGGGGUGACUCACAUCAGAAGACAUUCCAGAAAGAAGAAUAAUUACGCCAUUGCUGGAAUUGAUGUAAUGGUGUUUUUUAGGAUACUUUAAUAGAUAUGAGUGAUGUUUUGGCAGGCAACUGAAAUAGCCCUAGAUAUCUGAUUGCAUUAUUGACUACUACGAAGGGGCAUCUCUGGGGUAGGGAUGUUGCUUAAGGUACUCUCCUCAUAUUUUUAACGUCCUUUAGUUAUAUAGCAGAGAAUUCCUUUUUAAAUGAUAGACACUGGAGAGUCUAACCAAGAAAUAUAACAAACUGAAUUACAGAUAUGCACAGAUUUGGAGAGGCAGGCCUGUGUAAACAGCAUCAUAAUUCUCCAUGUAACAUUCAGUUAUGGAUUUAGCCCAAAAGAUUGCCACGUACUAGGGUUGUUUCUUUUGUAAUGUUUUUGUUUGGGCUCAUAAUCCCUUGCUGACUUUUUUCGUGGAAAUGGUUCCUUUAUCUUUCUCUUAUAUUUUUUGGAUGUUGCCCUUGUUGCUGUAGUAUUGCUUACUCAUGCUUUGGCACAAUUUGACCUUUAUCAUGCUUAUUUAGUUAGAUUUUGACUGGCUGUAACAUGGAUGAGCAGAAGAUUCAUAAAGAGGAAGGUCCACUAUGCCUAUGAGGUUACAUCAUGAUGAUGCAUAUUGUGGCUCUGCCCCAGUGCUGUUCCCUUGGAAGAGGGUAUCGAGAAUUGGGGGUGGGUGGAGCCAGGACAUGUUGACCAGCAUAGCUGGCUGACGUACGCGGGAGAGGUAGAUGAGCUGCUUGUUCAGGGCUGCAGUAAGUUCAUUUCCCACUUUGACUCCUGGGUCCAGAGAAGAGGAAUUUGUGAGCCUGAAGAACAAUUCCUUCCCAGGGCUUUUUCUGAGACAGUACAGCUAAGCACCACCCAAUAGUCAGGCUGAGCCAAAAAAUAAUAAAUGAGGGUUAUAUAGAGCCUAAGACUCUUUCCUUCAUAGAAAUAGGUUUAUUCUCUCUCUCUGUAUGUGUUUUAAUACCAUAGUCAUCACCAUGGUAUUCUUAUUAUUUACGAUUACUACAGGCAUUUAAACGCAUUGGAUCAAAUUGUUCCCUUGUUUAACACCCUAUUGAGGGUUCAUUGCUUGCAUUUAAGCUAUAUAUUAAAAUAAAAAACUCUAGGCAUUGAUGUCCCUGUUUUUGUUUCUCACAGUCUAGUUAUUUAGCUACUCUCCUCAGGUAAAUAGGUCUUUUUCUUGGUCUGGCACAUUGAUAAGCCUUCACACUUGGCUGGGCCUGAGGUGCGUUUGUGCAAAGCCAGAUUGCUUUAGUUAACAUAAUCAGUGAACUCACUGUUCUACCUGGAUGUCUGGGAGAAUUGCCAAGAGAUUUCCCAACAUUUCAAUCAGAGGCAUAGGCUAUAAAGCUGUCAGUUUUCUUGUAGGCCAAUUUGCCUUUGCCAUGGUUCUAACGUUCUGUUCAUUUAUAAAGAAAUCAGCCCAGGUCUUUUGGGGUAAUAUUUUAUGCUGGUUUCAAUUUGAAGGAGAAUGAUUUCUUUUUUCUUUCUUUCUUUUUUCCUUUUUUAUUUUAAAGAUGCAUUUUUAAGAAGCGUUUCCUGACAAUGAAAAAUGUUUUAUUUUAUGAUUCUGACACACUAGCAAUUUCAAGAAAAAAAUUUUUAAUUCUUCCAUUCUGUUACAGGCUCACUUCAUAUAUUGCACUGAUCUCAAGUAACCCUGUUCUUAAACAAAGAAAUGGAGCUAUUCAGGUCAAAUGUUCAGGAUGAUAUUGGUCUGAGUAGUAAUUACAAUCAGAGAUAUGUUCAACUACCUAAAAAUAAUUCACUCCCAAAGAAGAAAGGUACCUACAGGUUUAUGGGUUGUGGGUCAUUGUCAUCCACCCUACUUCCACCUGCUAUAAUAAAUUCUGUUGAAAUAUCUACUACUGAAUACUGAACUUAUAAGACUUUUUUUUCCCCACUAUGCAUGCUGUAUUCACCAUGUUAUGCCAGAUUACAUCAUGUAACCUUCAACUAUGUCAUGUCAUUUUUUCAGCAGAUGUGAUGCAGAAGGACGUAGUUCCACAUCCACUUGAAAUAUUUUUAACGGUCUCCAAGGAAGUUUUUCAAUAUUUGGUUCCUUGGAUGUUUCUAAAAUGCAUCCUCAUAGUUAAUCUUCUGCUAUUUUUAUGAGGUGAUCAUGCAGUGAAAACGUAGACUAUACUGUUCAGCAAUAUUUCAAAUUUAAUUGAACCGAUGACAUGAGUGACAGAAAUGGGGAGCGUAUGGUGUACACAUACAUAGCGCUCAUAAGCCUGCAGGAAAGGUAAGCAAAACCAUCAAACGCAUUUUGUAAGAGUGCUCCUACUGUUUAAUGAUUUUGAAGUUUUUUAGGCCUGCAGGUCAACAUCCCAAGAACAUGUCGGUGCAACUAAAAGGGAAGAUCAAGAACUUGGAAGAUAGGGAGAGACAGGUUCUUUGGAUGGACAAGUUGGAAAUAAAAACAGACACACAAAUGAAUUGCAUCAGAACAAGCAUAUAUCCUUUUACAGUACAUUGUACUGCACAGUAUGGUGACAAAUGAGGAUGAUCUACAUGAUGAGAGACAUAUUUUCCAGUUUUGAGCAAAAAGAUCAUAGUUUUCCAGGGUGACCCUAUGGAACAGCCAGUGGAAUCAAUGGAUGUCAGGAUGGGACAAGUAUCCCCCUCUGGUUAUGAGACAGCAUUCACAGCAUUUAUCUGGUAGGGGGAUCAGCAAUACCAAAUUUUAUAAUGUUAGCUCUUUGGUACAAGGCUUCAAAUUUAACACUCCAUUAAGAUGAAUGGGAAGAUUUGUACCAUUUCAGCAGACUCCUAAAGGAAACAGUGAAUUUGCUUGUAUUCUCAAGGCUAACAUUUAUGUAUUUGCAGAAGCACAGAAAGUCUGGAAACAGAGAUCUUUAAAACAUUCUGAGACUAUAUGAAAAUCAGCAUGGCAAUCCUAAAUCCUUAGAAUGCAUUAUCUUGCAAAUGCAAAAUCAUGUUCAAAUUUUUGCAGCUGGUCAUUUGCCAGCAAAGUGGCAAAAGCGGGAAAGAUUUUAUAUAGCUCCUGUACUUAUGGUUGUCCAGGCAAGUUGCAUCUGUAGAACCCCAAUUUUCUCAUAGCGGCAAUGUUAACUUACCAGAUAUGGAUUUAGUUGGGGUGUCUUCUACCACGGGAAGGGAGAAUGCUCUGGAGUGCAUCUUCUCACCUUCCCCUUCUGCGUAACACAAGUCUUGGAGCCCCACUCCCCCUGCUAAAGCUCCAACAUAGUGCCUCUGCUGGAAUCACAGAGCAAGGGAAAUGAUGCCAUGGAACUUAGCAUGACCCGCACCUUUACUAUGGAGUGAUUCUAUGUCUGCAUGAUUAUCUGAAUAUUCAAUCAGUGACUGACAAUAAUUAGUGAAUCAGAGUCCCUCAGAAUUUCUGUGGGGUAGGUAAGUAUUAUCACCUGCAUUUACAGAUGAGGUUAGGGUAUCACAGCAUGAGUAAGUGGCUUGGUGAAAAUCAAACUGCUGAUUUCCAGUCCAAUGUUUUCACUGCUUGAAUGUGUCGUGUUCCCGCCUCCCCUCCCCCACUGCAUGCCUUGAAAUAAUACUUUCCAUAACAUUUUGAUACUAUGGAUGUGCUGUUCAAUGUUUAGCUCCACUGGAAAAUUUAAUCUGUUCUUUUUAUUGGAGCAACAAUCUACUGAAAGUGCACAGAUAUUAACAUUUAUUCUUUUUAGCAAGCCCUCUUUACUGUACCACAUCUACAAGGGUAAAAGUUUGUAAUCUUUCAGCUAUUACAUGACUCCAUUAUGACUAUAGCCAAUGAUUAAUGUAGGGUUAAUAAUUUUGUCUGAUGGAUGUUGGUGUAAGAGAAUGACUGUUGCUGCCUGAAUCUUUAUUAACAUACUUCGUUUUGAUUGGUUUAGAGAAGAGAUUACUGUGUGCUUCACCUACUCAGAGCCAACUUUUUAAAUAAAAAGACAGAGAAAAAAUAUACUUUUAGGGAAAAUCUGUUUUUUGAUGGAAUUUACAAUGCCCCUUAUGGGAUGGUCAUCUUAAGUCUGGUGUACCACAAAUUACUAAGUUCAACCUCCAUUUGACAAAUACAGUAGUAACUUUUGCUGUAACUAUGAAGGGGUAACCCCAGUAAAACAUUAGGGAUUGGACUAAUCUAUUUAGCUUUGCUACAAAAUCCUGGUAUGGUUUAGGCAAGCUGAUGAGCUAUCAAAAGGUAAAAAAAAUAUAGCCUUAAGACUUCUCUUGGGUCUAUCUUGUUCCAAUUUUAAAAGCACCUUGUUGUAACAGUGUUGGAUAGAGGAAUUCCUGAGGCAAAAUGACAUGGAUAGUAGGGCUGUGUGAAAUUUCACCAGCUGUUUCGUUUUGAUGCUGUUUCGAAUCAUUUCGAGCUUGAGACAGCAAAAUUGAAAUGAAAUGUGUCACAACCCAAGUUGUGAGUUUUUGUUUUGUGUGCUUCGGCACAGCUAAAUUGCUCCCUGCUAAAUUGUUCCUGCCAAAUUGCAGCUUCUUUGCACGGUGGAGUUUUCUGCUGCAACAGAGAACCCCGGGUGUAAAAGAAGUUCCCGCCAAUUCGUAGCUUUCUUUGCAGUGUGCAUUUCUAAGUUGCAGCACGGUGAUGCACGUUGCAAAGAGUUCCCGCCAUUUGUAUUCUAAUUCGAGCCCCAUUAUUGGUUUACGUUAAAUUAUUCACACAUGGCAGCUAGCGAUGGGCCUGCUAGCUGUAUAAAAGGCUUGUGUGGUUUCCGCCCUAGUUGGAGGACUCCACGAACACCAGGAGGAGGAGACUUCGCGCUGUGUGAAGAUCUCUAAGCGCUGCGGAUCUUCACAGACCCAGCGCAUUUUAAGCAGGCAACAGAGGUCUGAUCAGCCUCUACCCUCUCCCCGUCGCCGUACGAUCCUAGAUGUAUCCUUCCCUGCACGCCUAAGAGACGGAUCCACGAAGCCUAGCAAACUUCGUGUGAGUGAGUGUAUUCAGAGCUCUUUACCGGACGGAUUUUCUCCGGUUGGUCCGACAGGCUAACGGUUUAGAGCCUCCAACCAGAUGGGCUAGAAGAGUGUUCCCGGAGGAACUCUAGUCCGCCUCUCUUCUUUUCUAUCUGCAACUGUAACUCAAGCAAGUUUUCUGCCUGCACCGCGACCAUCU